GACGAACGCUGGCGGCGUGCUUAACACAUGCAAGUCGUACGGUAAGGCCCUUUCGGGGGUACACGAGUGGCGAACGGGUGAGUAACACGUGAGUAACCUGCCCACAACUUUGGGAUAACGCUAGGAAACUGGUGCUAAUACUGGAUAUGUGCUCCUGCUGCAUGGUGGGGGUUGGAAAGCUCCGGCGGUUGUGGAUGGACUCGCGGCCUAUCAGCUUGUUGGUGGGGUAGUGGCCUACCAAGGCGGCGACGGGUAGCCGGCCUGAGAGGGUGACCGGCCACAUUGGGACUGAGAGACGGCCCAGACUCCUACGGGAGGAAGCAGUGGGGAAUAUUGCACAAUGGGCGCAAGCCUGAUGCAGCAACGCCGCGUGCGGGAUGACGGCCUUCGGGUUGUAAACCGCUUUCAGCAGGGACGAAGCUUUUUGUGACGGUACCUGCAGAAGAAGCACCGGCUAACUACGUG
rnacentral:rRNA from 1 species